rnacentral:rRNA from 1 species
GACGAACGCUGGCGGCGUGCUUAACACAUGCAAGUCGAACGGUAAGGCUCCAGCUUGCUGGGGUACACGAGUGGCGAACGGGUGAGUAACACGUGGGUGACCUGCCCUGCACUUCGGGAUAAGCCUGGGAAACUGGGUCUAAUACCGGAUAGGACCGCACCGUGCGGGUGUGGUGGAAAGUUUUUUCGGUGUGGGAUGGGCCCGCGGCGUAUCAGCUAGUUGGUGGGGUAAUGGCCUACGAAGGCGGCGACGGGUAGCCGGCCUGAGAGGGUGAACGGCCACAGUGGACGUGAGAGACGGUCCAGACUACUACGGGAGGCAGCAGGAGGGAAUCUGCAGCAAUGGGCGAAAGACUGACGGAGCAACGCCGCGUGAGUGAUGAAGGUCUGCGGAUAGUAAAACUCUGUGAUUAGGGAAGAACAUAUGUGGAAGUAACUGUGCACAUCUUGACGGUACCUAAUGAGAAAGCAACGGCUAACUACGUG